ensembl:lncRNA
UUUCUUGGAAGCAUAUUUAGACUAUCAAAGGCUGGAAACUAAUAUUUAAAUAUCACAACUACACAGCAGUUUCAACAAAAGGCACAAUGCAAUUGUUGUACAAUUCAUGUUCUCAAGUCAGUUUUCUGACACAAAAUGGUUUCUUGACUACGAUUUGGAGUCAAUGACUAAAAACUGCAAUUAAACACUCUAAAAAAGGUAGGAAAAGAAUAGCUUCCUUAACCUUCGACUCCAUGUAUAAAACGAGGUUAUAACCAACAUAAACUCUUUAAAAGGAGACGGCAUUUGAAGUCAGGGUCGAUUUAGUUAUUUUCCAAAACGGAAGGCAAACGUCGCUCCAAGAAUACUAAAAUGGUUUAAAUGAAAUUGAAUAUUGGGAUUUUUCACAAUAAAGUAAAGGAAGAAGUGACCUUGACUAAGGGAUACCCUCAAGCCAAUGGGUAGUAAGACCAUAAUGAUCCUUCUAUGACCUCACAGAACAUCCAGUCUACUUCAAGGUUUUCCUAGGGGAAAAAAAGAGAAAAAACAAAAACAGCCCGGAGGAGUCAUGAUCUUUCUCAGCAUGUUGCUUUGUGCAAGACCCAAGGAAAGCUAGGAGGCUGUACAGUUAUCUCCCUUGAUACAAUUCUAAACUAUACAACCU